rnacentral:rRNA from 1 species
AUUGAACGCUGGCGGCAGGCUUAACACAUGCAAGUCGAGCGAGUGGCGGACGGGUGAGUAAUGUCUGGGAAACUGCCUGAUGGAGGGGGAUAACUACUGGAAACGGUAGCUAAUACCGCAUACCAUCAGAUGUGCCCAGAUGGGAUUAGCUAGUUGGUGGGGUAAGGGCUCACCUAGGCGACGAUCCCUAGCUGGUCUGAGAGGAUGACCAGCCACACUGGAACUGAGCCACGGUCCAGACUCCUACGGGAGGCAGCAGUGGGGAAUAUUGCACAAUGGGCGCAAGCCUGAUGCAGCCAUGCCGCGUGUGUGAAGAAGGCCUUCGGGUUGUAAAGCACUUUCAGCGGGGAGGCGUUACUCGCAGAAGAAGCACCGGCUAACUCCGUGCCAGCAGCCGCGGUAAUUC